UCAAGCAAUUGCUCUAAGACAAUUAUAGGCUAAAGGAAACCCCAGACUAUUGUUGUCUCAGCCAAUAUAUGCAUCCGGUGAUUCUCUAUACGAUGAGGCAGAGCCUCCAAAAUUCAAUCCGGCUCCGGCGGUGGUCUGAUGACGGACUGCGGCAAAUCCCAAUCCAAAAUCAUUCUCCGCGCCGCUGGCGAGUCUUUGAAUUUAGCAUAGAGCAAGCGUUGUUUCACCAUAUCCAUGAUUCCUAGCUCUCUAGUGCUGUAAUGCCCAGCGAAUGAAUCCUUCCUAAUUGAGAUGAGAAACUUGAAAUCGGCAUUUGUACUGCAAGAAAUUCCAAAUUGGUUAUGUGAAAGUACAUGUGAAAAACAAGUGGUCGUGGGACUCUUUAACUGUUUGGCAGAGGCGACAUAGUCUUGAAUUUUAUUAUUUUCAUAACCAAUAAUAUAAUAGGGUUGUUAGGGCAUCUCACUUCCUUUUUGUGUUUCAAUUAUUAAUCGGGGUGAAUGAAUCUGGCGACUGCAUCUUCCUCUUCCUCUUCUUUCUACGUUUGUGAAUCAACAGAGAAUUCCUUUUUGUGUUUCAAUUAUUAAUCUGAGUGAUUGAAUCUAUUUCUUCCUCUCCCUUUCCCGCUCCCAAUUAAGGAUGAAUGAAUCUGGGAUUCUUGUCUAUCAAUCAUGUAUCAAUCGAUGAUAAAGAUGGUAACUUUGGUAUGUCGAUCAACACAACUAAGGGAUCAACACUCUAUUAAGAUAAUUUUACCCUUCUUCUUGACUAUAUAUCAACACUACUCUAUUGUUACAUCUAUUUGCGGCGGCUGCUUCUUUGAUUUGAUUCGAUUCUUGUGUAUCAAUCAAAGAAGAAUAAAUUGAUAAUGUCAUGUAAAGUUUGAGACUUUAUUUGCAGGGAUGUCGAGAUCAGAGAUGUAAUGGCUGAUGUGGAGAGCAGCGAUGAGGAAAAAACGAUGUAAUGGCUUCAGAAGAUAGAAGAAAUAGGUUUAGUAAGAUUGGAAUUUCACGAUUGAGGAUGAAUGAAUCUGGGCUUCUUGUCUAUCAAUCGACGUCGACUGCUUCUUCUUGGGUAAACCGUCUGCUUCUUCUUGGGAAUCUUGAGAUCAGAGGUGGAGAGCAGCGAUGAGGAAGAAACGGGCAAUGCUUCAGAACAUAGAAGAAAUAGGUUUAGUAAGAUUGGAAUUUUACUAUUGAGGAUAAAUAAAUCCGGGUUUCUUAUCUAUCAAUCGUGUAUCAAUUGACGGUGGGCUCUUUCUUGUGUAUAAAUCGAUUCGAUUCUUAUGUAUCAAUCGAAAAGGAAGAAAUUCUUAUGUCAUGUAAAGAUUGAGACUUUAUUUGCAAGGAUGUCGAGAUCAGAGAUGUAAUGGCUGAUGUGGAGAGCAGCAAUGAGGAAGAAAUGGCCGUGCAAUGUAAUGGCUUCAGAAAAUAGAAGAAAUAGAGAGGAAGAAACGGGUAAUAGUAGUGAUAUGAUAUGGUAGGAGCCUUUCUAGCCAUCAGAAGAAUGUGAGGUUGCCAUCUCCAAUUCUGUUUUUGAUUAUAGGUCUCUGGUUUGAGUUCUAAAGAUGGGAUAGUUUGGGAAGGUUUUAGUUCUAAAAGGGAAUUCUGUUUUUGAUUAAAGGUGUCUCUGGACUUACAAUUGCAAAAUUCUCAUAUCAGGUUUCUCUCAUUCUGUCCCCUCUAAUAUUACACUUUAUUCUUUUUAUUUAUCAAUUAUUAUUAAUUUCUACUCCUUGA